rnacentral:tRNA from 1 species
UUGAAGUGUAGCUCAGUGGCAGAGCAUUUGCCUGGCAUGCACAAGGCUCUGGAUUCAAUCCCCAGAACCAAA